rnacentral:rRNA from 1 species
UACGUAGGGGGCUAGCGUUGUCCGGAAUCAUUGGGCGUAAAGAGCGCGUAGGCGGCCAGAUAAGUCCGGUGUGAAAGUCAAAGGCUCAACCUUUGAAUGUCAGUGGAUACUGCCGGGCUAGAGUCCGGAAGAGGCGAGUGGAACUCCUGGUGUAGCGGUGGAAUGCGCAGAUAUCAGGAAGAACACCAACGGCGAAGGCAGCUCGCUGGGGACGGUACUGACGCUGAGACGCGAAAGCGUGGGGGAGCGAACAGG